CUUCUCCUGUACAGACCUGUGUCCUUAGAAUACAGAUCAGGGGGGAGGGGAAGUGAGGAGCUGUGUACUCAGCUGGAUGAGAUGAGGGGGCGUGGCUUAUUCCUCUCAUGCAGACAGAGAAAAAAAAGUGCUAUGACAUGUUGUCCACAACAGACUCAGAACUGUGGACAUCAGUAAAAGAAAACCCUCUGAACUACAGAACUUCCUGCCCAACAAACAGGUUAAACUAUCGAAAUUUGAGAGAGAUACUAAAGAUUAUAUGAUGGACAGAGUCUAUACAUGGGCAGAUGAGAGACGUAAAUAUCGUCGUACACAAAGAGAGCAACGAGGAGAAUUUGAUGCCUUUGAUUAUGGCUCUACAGAUAGCGAAUUAAAUAACAUGUGUGAACAGCAACCUAGACAAGAUUUUUUAGGAAAUCAACAAAAAGGAAAAAGAAAAGACAAAAGGGAUAUUGGAAACAUGGAAGGGAUGUACACAAGAGCCCGCAACAAGAAACAAUAUCAGAAGAUGAAAUGAAUUCUCGCGAGAGAACGUACCUGUAUAAAUGUAUGGUGGUGGGUGCACAGGAACUAUGUUGAGAAAGGGAGGAGACUCCUGAAACGUCCAGCAGCUCGCAUGCCAGCGAGCGUUUCCACACCCCCUCAGAAUUAGCGUCCACAUGGCCAGGAACACACCGUCCAGCAAGCAGCAAGUCUGGGAUGGAAGGUUCUGAAGACACCGAGUGGAAUAAGCUCUGAGCAGUCUAUUGAGCACCGGGUGAUUAUGUUCUGUAUAUCUCUCUACUGUUUUGUACAUGGAUGAAUUUGGAGAUAAAGAACUUUUUA